UAUGUUUCCAUCAAAAUCUUUUCUCCUGUA
rnacentral:piRNA from 1 species